GGAAUUGUUGGAUGAGCUGGAUGUCCAUCUUUCAAACAUCCCUGAAACUGGCCCUCCGCUGAUACUUCUGUGCGACUUCAACAUCCAGACAGAGAAGUCAGCUGCCUUUUUACAUCUUCUCUCUUCUUUUGCCCUCUCACUCUCGCCUUCCCCACCCACUCACAAAGCUGGCAACCAUCUAGAUAUCAUAUUCCCCUGAUACUGCUCUACAUCCAACCUCACCGUUACU